rnacentral:ncRNA from 1 species
UAUCUUGAGAGUUUGAUCCUGGCUCAGGACGAACGCUGGCGGCGUGCUUAACACAUGCAAGUCGAGCGGAGGGGAAAAAGCUUGCUUUUGAACCUUAGCGGCGGACGGGUGAGUAACACGUGGGUAACCUGCCUCAUGGAGGGGGAUAACACUAAGAAAUUGGUGCUAAUACCGCAUAAAACCGUAGGGUCACAUGACCUAACGGUCAAAGAUUUAUCGCCAUGAGAUGGGCCCGCGGCCCAUUAGCUAGUUGGUGA